rnacentral:lncRNA from 1 species
GAUAAGAGGGGAAAGAUAAACCCUUGGAGUUCCUUUUCUGGAAGUCAUAAAGAUGACUCAAGAUGCUCAUUUCCUUUGGACUUAGCAAACAAACAAGCAAUCAAACAAUUGAAUUCAAGCUCCUAGGAUCUCCAUUUACCUUGUCUCUUAACUUGGCUACUCAGGACAAUGGUCCUCCUUUCACAAUCUCAAGAUGGGAUCCCUAUCACACAAGAGCAAACAUCAAAAAGUUCACCACACAAUAAG